GGAGCUUCUGAUUUAAUGGAACUUGGAAUUGGCAUUUGCUGAAAAGGGCAACACUGUACGUCAGGAAACAUUGGUUGGCCGGAUGAAUACUUCACAUUGCCUAUGGGAAGGGAAAAUAGCACUGUCAGAAAUUUGCACAAAACAUUACAGGAAGCAGAGAUCUGUCAAUUCUUCAAGAAAAUAAAAGUGCUUCUUUCAAGAGUCUUAACUCUACUGUGACUUUUGCUUCCUGCAAUGAGGUCCCUCCCUCUCAUGCUGAAGUUACCUAGUCUGCUUUCUAUCACUGCAGCUGAUUUAGAGGGAAGUCUGAAAGUCUUUUCUCUUGGCCAGGCUGGAAGCAAAGUUAAAAUGGAGAGGACUUCAUUUCUUUCUGCUGAAGGUACCAAUGGUGAGCGAAUGAGGCUGGUGAAAAUAUCCCAUGUCUUCCUGGGGGACUGUGGGAGGUCAUCUGUAGAGGGGGUACCCUAACAAUGCCAACCAUCUUGAUCCCAAGCUGGAGUCCAGAGAAGAGGAAGGCAAGGCAGGAAUCAUAACCCAAGGGUGUUUAGUGGUGCCAGUUAAAGUUAAAUGUCCCAGGUCAGAGACAAUAUAAAUCCAGGCCACACUCAUGGAAGUGGUAUCAACCUUUUGAAGGGAAGGUCAAACAUUUGGUCUUCUAAAAGGAUUUUGAAAUUAGAAAAAAAUAAAAAAAAAGUGCUAAAAUGAAAUCAUCCAAACUGGUCCAUGCCUCAUAAAUCAUAAAAGGCCUUUCUGGACCCUCAGGAAAGAUAUUCCAUCUGUCUUUACACCUUAUUUUAUGGGGGACUUUAUCCUGCUCCCUGGAAGCAUGUUCCUAAUGAAGCCACUGGAAAAACUGCCCACGGAGCCCCUCCUUUUCCCAGGUAUGCUGAAAGCAGCAAACUCAUUUGACUCUGGCCUAGAGCCCAUUCUCCAUGACUAUUCAAAUUUGGAUUCUUCAGACACUUGCUUCUCCAUUUUGAACAUUUGAUUGCCAUGUUAGAGGGAGCAAAAAUUCAGCAAACACUGAUGGGUUCCAGGCAUUGUACUGAGGGGAGGCCCUCCUGUGAAGCAGGUGUGGAAGAUAUCUCAGCCAGGCAGCCUCAUUCAAUUGUAAUAUGAGGUAAGUGCCGGCCACAGUAAAUUCAAAGAAGUGGUUUGAGGACAGAGAAGGGGAGAGAUUAACCCCAUAUGAGAAAGGAACAUUUUGUUACAUAUUAAUAUUGAUAACUGAAACUCUGGCGCUGAUUCAUGUUAAAUAUAAAGCCAAGAGGAUUUUUGAAUUGUGCCUAUAUACUCCAUUAUCCUUGAGAAUGAGAUGUGUCUAUUAAUUGGACACACAAUACUGCUCAUUUUAGGUGUCAGAAUUCUAAAAAUUUAAGAUCAUGCUAUGUAAAUAUUAGCCCAACCCUCCAGGUGAAAAUAUAUACUUUUCAUGAAUUUCCAUUCGACCCAAGACAUGAAAAAAUGAAGAAAAGAGAAGAGCAGGAAAAAACACAUGGAAAGGGAAGGAAGAAAAUGGGAAAGGGGCCUCUUGUAUUGAGUUACAUGUUUGCUCCAUCCACUAAGUUGCUGUACAACUGGGAACCAUUUAGCUCUUUGUAAACUCAAUUUCUAAAAUCUAGAAACAGAGUAGGAGGAGAAGGCCUCCUCAGAUAAUUUUCUGCUUUAAAUUCUGAGCACUUGUAUUAUAUCUGAGGAUUUUAAAAGAUUCUCUCUUCCCUCCUUGCCUUUGUCACUCACAGCCUCAUUCCACCUGGGGACCAUCAGGACUAACCUCUUUGUACCCUUUAUCCCUAAUUUUAAUGGGCCACCCUAAAAAGCUCUAGACUCCUGGUUGCCCUUCCAUCACCUGUAUUCUAGUCAUAUAGAGAUCUGCAUACCCCUUUUUGUGACCCUAUGCCUCACUCUUCCUAGCUCUUGAAACCUGUCCUAUAGGUCAUGUGGCCUGUGAUCCGCAAAACCCAUGUUCCCAAACCCUUCUCUGAAUGCUGCCUGCAUCUACUUGCUCUAAUCAAUAUCUGCAUCUACCUGAAGACACAGCUUCCCUCAUAACCCUCUCACACAGCACUUCCCCUCCCCAUUCUCCCCCAUUCCUCAUACACUGCAUGAGUCUUCCUUGGUCCUCAUUGGGGCCUCUGGGGUAUCUUCUUUCUCCUCUCCCUAAAAACACCCAGCUUUGAAUCUCAUAUCAUCAGACUAUAUGACUCCAUUAUGCAGUCAUCUACUGACUCCGUAGGUCAUGUUCCUUCACUUCUUGAAGUAAAAAAUGGCUCAAAGUCCCCUACUCUAAAGCCAUUUUUAAAUGUUAGUGAUUUCAACACCCAUGGAGAUGAUUCUUCCAGCACUCUGGCUUCUUGGUUCUUUAGGCUCUUUUCCUCCAAUGGUCCUGUCCUCCAACCUUCUUAGCCAUUCACACAAAGGUCCAAAUAUGGACCAUUACCAAUACUUGCAACCCCUCUAAUUUCAGUAUCAUUCAACCUAGCUUCUGACAACCACCUCUACCUCCACAGCUUACUUCCCCUACAACUGCAAAUUUAUCCAUCCUUUGACAAUAGGAUCCAUUGAUCCUCCCAUCUUUAUUUCUGUCUCCCACACUGGACAUUUCCUCAUUCCUUUCACUACUGAGCUUAAGCAUCUGGUUCAAUCAUUAUAAUCACUUCUUUGCCUCUUCCCUUGAAUCACUGUACUCACUUUGUCAAACCCCAACUUCAACUUUUUAAAUGCCAAUACUCAGCCCAUUCUGGUGCCUGUGCUCAUGAACGUGAAUAUGCCUAGAGGGCAACUUACAACCCUGCAGAAUGGCCUCAUGUUAAAUUCAUGAGUGGCACCUUUAAUGCUGCUUAUAGUCACACUCUAUUUCCCAGGCCAUCUGCUCUUCUAUUCUCCAAGAAGCUAUCACACAUCCUCCAGUCUCUCCUCGCACUUCUGACACCUCCUCCCCAACCUCACUCCCUGCUAAAGUCCCGGCUUCCAAUUCACUUAGACAACAGAAGCAAGCAGGAGAGAACACCCACAGCUCACCACACCCCUAGCCUACUUCACAUACCCUUGUCUUUUAGUUAAGAUCCCAGCCUCUCUUGCCAAUAAGACAAUCAUUCAGAAGGCUCAUUGUUUCAAAAAGAUUAGUAAACAAGUUCAUGAAAGAAAAUGUUCUCCAAAGCUGCUGUGGCUUUGUGGCACAUUAUUACUAAAAGUAUGUGAUAAGAAAAUGUGAAUGGAAAACAAAAUCUCAGGAUCCCUAACUCACUAUGCUAAAGGGAAAAAUUAAAAGUGGGAACUGAGUCACACAAAAACUACCUUCCUAAGCAGCUACUUGCAAAGAUAGAAGGCCAGUGACCUCCCUCACAAAUUGCUCACAAGGAAAUUUCUAAGGGUCCCCAAAUCUUUACCCUAAAACAGAGUUUUGUUGAAUUUCACCCUGACAAUGUGAAUUAACAGCUUAUCUUUACAGGACAAAGGCAGGACUAGAAGUCAUCUCUCCUCCCACCCUGAGAAAAAUGUGUACUUGACUGCUUCUUCUACUCUAGGCAUACCUUAUCUUAAUUAUAUAAAACGCAGAUUUACUGAGCAUAAGACAAAUGCAUAAUUGACUGUUCCUCCACCCCCUCCUGCCUGCUCUUUCGUUUCUGUGAAGCCCUCAAAAUCCUUUUUGGGAAAAAACAAAAACAAAAAACAAAACAAAACAAAAAAACAAAACAAAACAGGCUACAAAUCCUAAUGAAAUUUAUCUCUCUUUUUCCCAGGUGUGUCCUCAACCUUGGCAAAGUAAACCUGUCUCAUACACUUUUUGGUUUAUAGAAAAUACUAAAAGGCAUAAGGGUACAGCUGCCAACAGUUCUCAGCAAAAUUUUUAAGUAAAAAAUUGAAAUAUUUUCCCCUGCAAAGUAACAAAACCACCUCUGUGGUACCAGUCAUUUUUUUUUUAGGUCAAUGUUCUGUGAUAGCCACCUUAAGUAGACAUUUGAGAGAGCAGUGGUGGUCAAAUCUAUCUAGAGUGACUUUAUGUAGCACAUAAGAUGCCAUUAAAAAGCUGUUAGAACACAAAGGAUCAAACACAUGGUAUUUUUGGUAUCUGUGGCUUGGGAGCCACCCCCCACUCCCAGACUGACAAACUGUUGUACAGAAUCAACUAACAUUUAAAUGUCAAGUAAGUUUACUUAUUUACAUGGAGAAUAAAGUAGGAAUAAAAUCAGUCGUGGAUAAUCUGCUUACUCUAGGUUGGGAUCAGUAACAUAGAGCCAACCAAGCCAUUAACUCUUACCUGUGGCCUGCUGGGAACAUUUGCUGAAAGAGAAAACAAAAGAAAUCACUUAAUGGCAGUCCUGUUACUUUGUUGGUUCCAACUCUCAGGCAUGCAAAUGCGUGGAAAGUAUCACUCUACAUAGGGUAAUAAUAGCCCAGUUGUUAAAUGGAUGCUAAUAGGAAAAACAAGAAACACAUUUUUUUUUUCCUGGCUUAAUGCUUCAAUGAGGGCUAGUUUUCCUGGUUAGUUUCUCAUAUCCCAUGUGAUUUAAGAUUUAGUGCAUACACUAAAGCAUUCACUGAGCACUUAGUCUUGCAAAAAAUCUCAUUUCCUAUUUAAAUCAUACUGUGUAUUUGGUUUAUGUAUCAGAACAGAGCAUGUUCUACUUACUUUGCUGAGUACUAAUUCUGACCAAGGGACCACUGAAGGCAUAAGUCUUUGGUUUCUGCCUCUCUUGACCCACCCUUGACACACCCUGGACCCUAACGCCCAGGAAAAUGGUGGCCAAGUACUUGCAUCAAGGAAAGUGCUGGCCUAAUCCUCAGUGUCCUUCUGGACACUUGGGAUAAUAAUAGUCCCUUGGAUGGGCCCAGUUAGGAACAACGGAGAAGUUAGAAUAUGGCAUCUAAUUCUCCUUUCCACACAGAUAGCUCAAUUCCUUUUUGGUUCCAGAGCCCAUAACAGUGAAGACGAUCUGGCGGGCUUUGCAAGGGCAGCCACUGCCAUCUCUUCUCUAAGGCAUCUGCUUUUCGUCCCCUCUUUUGCUACAUGAUCAUCUCGUUCUCAAUGCUGGGGGGAAAAGAGGAGAUCUGUCCCCCAGUAAUGGCAACAAUCUGUUCUUGGUCAAAUAAAAGUUGUCCCUAGUCAUCUAGCAUGCUGCACUCCUUCCAUCUCUCACUGUUCUAUGCUGAGUGGGAGAAAGGACAUCAGUGACCAUGUGCUGUGUGCUGGGAGCUAUGUGAGAAAAAAAGAGCAGGCAUGAAGAGUACCCUUCCUAUAACGUCUGGAGGGAAAGUGUGAGGCCCGGUAUUUGGGGGAGAAAUCAGGCUAAAAGAAGCCUAGUUCUAACAGAUCUGUAAGUUACAUCCAGGAGAAAAGAGUGGACCUCCACAGUGUCCAAGGGAUAGCUGAGUUGAAUUAUUAUUAAGUACACCAUAGGUUUACACACUCUUUUUAAAACAGACAGAGUUAUGCUUCUCUUGCAAGUAACAAAUAUAACAAAUAGCCAAACCCUAGACAGAAGUCUAAUCCAUUUUGCUCUAAACCAAUACUUUUAACCUUACAGCCUUUUAUCAAAUAAAAGGCUAUGGGUAUUUGCCUGAACAAAUCACACAAAAAUAUUUUAAAAAGGAAAUCACUGCAUUGCAGUGGGUUUUGGGUUUUUGAUGAAUGCCAUUCAAGCUUAAUAAACAUAGGCAAUUCAUAGUAAAAAUAUGCCUGUGGGUCAAAAAUAAUUUUGAAAGCAUUUCUUGGUCUAUCAGCAAAAAUUAGUUGGCUUACUGCCAGUAUUUCAUACAUUUGAAGGACAUAAGUAAAAAAUGGACAAAAAAAAUUUAUACCAAAAAAUAAAAAUAGUUACUGCAGUCAGUGGGAAUUUUAGUAAGUACACUUGUUAAUUGGCAGUACAUUUAAACCCCUUUCCUUAACUCCUUGCCAGGAAGUGAAGGAAAUGUCUGCUUCUCUGCUCUAAGACUCAACAUAAAUAAUUUUAAAAAGACUUUAAAAGGCCAUAAUUCAAGGAUGCUAUCAGGACCAACUGGGAUAUUAAUUCAGACAAAGGAGUUCUAAAGUGUUAUGUGCAACAAUGUGUAGACACAGUUAAAAAACGGUCAUGUUAAAAUAGGCAAUUCACACAAUUAGGAUUUAUGAAUACAGAGUUUCAUUUUAAUUCCAAGAUUGCCAAGAGUGGAAAUUCAUUUGGGGCCAUGCUAAUUUUUAAUCCACAAAGGAUCAAAAGUCAAGAUUAACAUGAAGAUCAAUUCAUUGUAUGCUGGCGACAAGCAUUUUUAAAGUUCUCAUUAGUUACAGGGGCUCAAGGGAUUGGCUUGGCAUUGGGAGGGUGCCAAUCCGAUUUGUUUAGAUAAAUUCUCCAAAGGUGGUUGGUAAGCUUUGGGAAUCACAAAGGCUUAUUAAAAUAUUUGCUGGCUGAGCAACUUUAAAGGGACAAAAGAACAAAUGAAUCCUACAAAACGUUCUGAGUACUAUCUAGGAAUGCUACAAGGAAACCUUCCCAGCUAGAAAAUGUAAUCAUUCACUCAAGUCAGAAACAUGUAUUGGGGCCGGGUGUGGUGGCUCACGCGUGUAAUCCCAGCGGUUUGGGAGGCCAGGGUGGGUGGGUCACU
rnacentral:lncRNA from 10 species